UGUAUCUUUAAACUUUGAUUAAGGAACAUUGUAUUUGUUUUUGUUUUUGGGCAUGAAUGUACUAAAAUGUUUCUAUUUUGAUCAGUGAAGUUUGAAUGUUUGUUAUUUAUUGUGUCUUUUCCCAUGCAUCUAUUUGAUGAUAACAAAAAGGGGGAGAAGUAAAGAAAGAGUAAUGUAAUAGGGGGAGAAGUAAAGACAGAGUGAUAAGAGAAGUAAAGAAAGAAGGAGAAAUAACGAAAUAACUUGUAAAACAACUUGAAAAUUAUAUAGGAAAGCAUAUGCAUCCAAGGGGGAGCAAUUUGCAACAAUGAAAAUGAUCAAGUCAAAAAUUUCUAUCAAAUUUCAGAAUUUGGCACGCACCUUUCACACCUCGAUACAUAACCUGAAAC
rnacentral:lncRNA from 1 species